AGGUCAGUAUUAGGAGCGGUACGUCCGGCACCGCCG
rnacentral:scRNA from 1 species